UUGCUAUUGAGUGUUGUUUGAUAUUUAAAAAAUCGGAAUAGAAAGUAAUUUCUUUAUUGCAAAAAUUUCAUUUUUCGGGAGAAACAUUUCCUAUCAGGAUUGUUGACUUGAAAUGUCUUACGUUACAAAUGAUGUAAAAGCAUUUCAUAUAUUGUUUUCUAUUUCAUAUUGUGGCCGUUCCGGCCAGGAACGUCUGUGUUAAAUACAGUGAAGUAAGUAAUCUUACAUUAUUGUAAAUAAAUUUAUUUCAAUAUUUGGAAUGUACAGCAUUAUAUCAUGAUUCUUAUGUCUUUAUUCUAGCAAAUUUCAAUCGUCUUUUACUUUUUUGUACUACACAGAUGAAAAGUAUUCAAUCAGUAUACAUGACAUAAAUAAUUAAAAUGAAUUGCUAUUGAGUGUUGUUUGAUAUAAAAAAAUCGGAAAAGAAAGUAAUUUCUUUGUUGCAAAAAUUUCAUUUUUCGGGAGAAACAUUUCCUAUCAGGAUUGUUGACUUGAAAUGUCCUAUGUUACAAAUGGUGUAAAAGCAUUUCAUAUAUUGUUUUUUAUUUCAGUUUGUUGCCGUUCCGGCCAAAGAAAUUGGUAUUUCCACCGUGAAUUUGGUGCCGUUGGGGACACCAACAAUUUUGUAUUGUCAACAACGUCAUUGUCACCACUGGCCUUUCCAGUGAGUGUUUCCUCCCAUUUCGUUACGUGUUCCACUUCCCAACGUAAGUUGAAAUAAAAGUAUUUCUUUGUAAUAAAUGAAUUCAAGUGUGUUACCUAUAUUUACGAAAUGAUU